rnacentral:rRNA from 1 species
UACGUAGGGUCCGAGCGUUGUCCGGAAUUACUGGGCGUAAAGAGCUCGUAGGCGGCCUGUCGCGUCUGCUGUGAAAUCCCCGGGGCUCAACCCCGGGCUUGCAGUGGAUACGGGCAGACUAGAGUUCGGUAGGGGAGACUGGAAUUCCUGGUGUAGCGGUGAAAUGCGCAGAUAUCAGGAGGAACACCGGUGGCGAAGGCGGGUCUCUGGGCCGAUACUGACGCUGAGGAGCGAAAGCGUGGGGGAGCGAACAGG